CCAAGGUCAGCUAAGCUGCUUGCGCUCGCUGCGACUCGGAUGGGGAGACCCAGGGCCGUAUGCACCACUGGGGAGGUGCCAAGGGCAGCCCGCCUGCAACCUCUGCGAGAAAAGUGCCCGGAGCUGUCCGCGAAGUCCCGCCGAGGAGACUUCGCCCUUUAAUGCAGGCCCUGGCACCGUCCUGCAAUUGCUCUCUACGCGCGCCCGUCGGGCUCCUUCCCCCACAACUGACCCCGGGCGGGACGGAGGAAGGCGGGGCGAGCGGCCGCAACCUGGAAGCAAGCGAGGAGGAGGAGGAGGGCGGCUCGGCCGCUCCUUCGCUUCCUGCUUUCCUCCCGCCGCCUUUGCCGCAGAGGGCGACCUUGGCCGUCUCCCGCCUCAGCUUCAGCUCCGGCCCGAAGGGGCGCCUGCACCCCGCACCCAGCCCCGCGGCUCCCUCUUCGGGCAGGUGCAGUCGAGAAAGACCUGCUGCGGCUGCUUAUUUCACGCCCCCGCACCCACCCCCGAUGUCGGGCAGCCGCCUCGAAGGGCUGCGGGCUUUCCUGGCCAGUCCAGUCCAGUCCCGAAGGCAAAACGAGCCCCCUCGGUGCCUCGCGAAAGCGGGGUGAAUUUCAAGAGCGUUUCGCCCGUCUGAGGGACGCGGAUGGCCGGGGAGGAAGGAGGAGGCUUCGCUCCUCAGAGAUGCAUUCGGGAACUUGCAGCGCGAGGGGCUGCUACGAUGGACGGAUUCGUUUUCUUUUAACUGACCAAAUUUGGAAUAAGGUCCUCUCACCCGUUCCUUGGAACGCACGCUCCUUCAUUUGGUUUUCUAAAGCGUUUUAAUGCAUCAGGAUGGACGGAUCCAAUUCCCAGGAUGCCUUGGGAGAAAGGGAUAAGUUUAAGGACGGAGCAACAUAAGUUUAAACAGAAAUGAGGGCUGAUUUGAGCUAAUGGAUGUUUUAAAGAAGCCAUUACAAGGGCGCCCAAACGUUUAACCCUGAUAUUAUCCAAAUCGGAUUACAGCUCCCAACCGAUCCAGCUGAAGGGUAGCAGGGUACGGCUUCAAUGAUGUUACUCAAAAGCACCCUAUCUGCAAAUGAAUUAAUAACAAAAGUUAAAGCCUGGGUAUUCUUCUCCUUCUGAAAAAAGUAAACUUGGACUCUAAUGGUAAGAACCAAGUUUUAUUUCAUUUGCCUUGAUUGUCUGACAAAGCAGUUCCCUCCCCCCCCCCAUCUCCACCUCAACAGCCCCAUAAAGUUAGGCUUGGCAGAAUCCUCUGACAGAAAAU